rnacentral:lncRNA from 1 species
AUCACAUUCUAGGAGACAAAACAAGUUUAGUAAAUUUUAAAGGAUUCAAGUCUAACAAAGUAUGAAGUUAAACUAGAAAUCAAUAAUAGAAUAUCUCCAGAAAAACUGCUAACCAUUUGGAAACUAAUUUACACACUUCUAAGUAACAGGAAUUAGCAUGGGCACUGUACAUAAGGAUACACCUGCGUCCAAAUCAAAAGUUGUAGAUCCAGGCAACUGGAGGAAACUCUGAAGGACUGACAUGGUGGCAUGGUGCUUUGUAACAACCAAAUUGAUCAGUGAGGUACAGAUGGUUGAGCAUAAUGCACCAGAGAGGACACCUCCACAACAUGGUUGGUGAAUGGAGUAGGUCCACACCCGGGAUCCAAACCUGUGAACCCAGGCCACUGAAGCGGAGUGUAGGGAACUUUAUACUUGACCAUGGGGCUGGGCCCUAAUGUUGGAUUUGCAUCUGCCACUUUGCUUUUUAAUUUUUAUGUCUCAUAUAUUUUUAUUUCCUCUGUUGCUUCUUUACUGUAUUUUUUUGCAGCAAAUACAUACUUUCUAUUUCAUCAUUUUUAUUCCGUUAUUACCAUUGUUGUUUUCACCAUAUUUUGGGUGUUAUUUUCUUAGCGUUUUUUCUGGAGAUUACAAUAUGUAUCUUAAUUUAUCACAACCAACUUCAGAUCAAUAUUAACAAUUCCAGUAAAACAUAGAUUUUUUUCCAACAAAGCUCCUCUUUUCCCUUCUCCUUUGUGAUAUUAUUACCAUUUCUAUUACAUACACACACGUUAAGGUUCAAC